rnacentral:rRNA from 1 species
UACGAAGGGGCUAGCGUUGUUCGGAAUCACUGGGCGUAAAGCGCACGUAGGCGGAUUGUUAAGUCGGGGGUGAAAUCCUGAGGCUCAACCUCAGAACUGCCUUCGAUACUGGCAAUCUCGAGUCCGGAAGAGGUUGGUGGAACAGCUAGUGUAGAGGUGAAAUUCGUAGAUAUUAGCUAAGAACACCAGUGGCGAAGGCGGCCAACUGGUCCGGUACUGACGCUGAGGUGCGAAAGCGUGGGGAGCAACAGGG